rnacentral:rRNA from 1 species
UACGUAGGGGGCAAGCGUUGUCCGGAAUCAUUGGGCGUAAAGAGCGUGUAGGCGGCUUGGCAAGUCUGACGUGAAAGCCCGCGGCUCAACCGCGGAUUGUCGUUGGAAACUGCCUCGCUAGAGUCCGGAAGAGGAGAGCGGAAUUCCUGGUGUAGCGGUGGAAUGCGCAGAUACUCGAGGAAGAACACCCGUGGCGAAGGCGGCUCUCUGGGACGGUACUGACGCUGAGACGCGAAAGCGUGGGGAGCGAACAGG